rnacentral:sRNA from 1 species
GGUGCUGUGGGGCCGCGGAGCCGCGCGUGGCUGUCUCUAUGGCCCCGGAUCCGAGCGCAAAGCUGGGCCAGGCCUUUCUCACCGCCAAGUCCCCUGGUCCUGCAUGAAGGCUCUAGAGGGGCGCAAGCCAGGCCUCGGGCUGCGCGGGGUGCAGACCGGCCACCACGGAGUCGGGGACCAGCGCGGGGAGGGGGCCGCGUGGCGAACAGUGUUCCCCAGGAUCUGGGUCACGUCUCCCGGCGUCCGGCGGGAUCGAAGGAGAGCUUGUCCUCGAGCUGCAGCAGUAGAGACUGAGAAAACGGACCUCAGAAAACCAGGACUAGCUCUACUGUCGGGGGCAGGGUGACCCCAUCAGUAACCUACAACCCCUCUAGAACUUCACAACUCUCUCUCACCAUGGAGUUUGCAUUUGAUGCAGAAAGGCAUGUGAUCCCUCCCUCCUUCUGACCUCUUAGCUGGGAUUCCAUGGCCACACAACCCUGUGACUCCAUGUCCCCCCGAUUCCAGGACCCCCCAUGGCCCCAUGAUUCUUUGACUCCUGUGACCUUAUGACCCCUGACCUUCCAAGUGACUUCCUUGGACUUUGACCCCUGUGACUGUGCUUCCCAUUCCCCGCCCCCACAACCUGUGACUCUGGCUCCCUUUGGGGGU